AUUGAACGCUGGCGGCAGGCUCAACACAUGCAAGUCGAGCGGAGAUGAGGUGCUUGCACCUUAUCUUAGCGGCGGACGGGUGAGUAAUGCUUAGGAAUCUGCCUAUUAGUGGGGGACAACAUUCCGAAAGGAAUGCUAAUACCGCAUACGUCCUACGGGAGAAAGCAGGGGAUCUUCGGACCUUGCGCUAAUAGAUGAGCCUAAGUCGGAUUAGCUAGUUGGUGGGGUAAAGGCCUACCAAGGCGACGAUCUGUAGCGGGUCUGAGAGCAUGAUCCGCCAAACUGGGACUGGGACACGGCCCAGACUCCUACGGGAGGCAGCAGUGGGGAAUAUUGGACAAUGGGGGAAACCCUGAUCCAGCCAUGCCGCGUGUGUGAAGAAGGCCUUAUGGUUGUAAAGCACUUUAAGCGAGGAGGAGGCUACUGAGACUAAUACUCUUGGAUAGUGGACGUUACUCGCAGAAUAAGCACCGGCUAACUCUGUGCCAGCCGCCGCGGUAA
rnacentral:rRNA from 1 species